UCUGUCAGAAAAUAUUUGGACAUUUAUCAGUGCGGAUGGAUGAUUCAAUCUGCAAUCAUUAACAGUCUUCUGGAUUGUUGGCCCAUUUCUACAGCUAAGUAAAACAGUUAUUUUGUUGACUCUUCCUUUGCCUCUGUUUUAAGGAUUUCACUAAUGUGGAAAAGUAUUAACAUUCCUUUAAAAUUAAAUUCUUCAAAAGUUUUUGGCCUACCUGGAAGUAUCAUAUUUCCUGUAAAAGUUUCCUUCUGCAGAAACAUUCUAAACAUCAGAAGAUGCCUAAGAUUUUUUAAACAUAAUGUCAUAGUUAAGCUUCCCCAAAUGAAAAGGAAAUAAAUAUUAUACCUUUGUGUGUAUCCAAUAACUAUCACUCUGCUUCACUAUAAUGCCAGGGCUAACACUGAAUAGUUUACAGGCAUGAAAAUGCAGUUUCCAAAAUUGCCAGUGUCCUGCUAGUAUAUUCAGUCUCACACAAAGAAGACAUCAUUUUACCUUACAGAUCUGCCCUAUUCUGGCAUGAGUGGCUUUUCCAGUGUGCUCUCCAUCAAUUGCAUUUUCACGGAAGAAGAAAUAGAUUUUGUCAUCUUCUGGAUUGUCACUUUCUGGUAUCAGGAAUGGCCAUACUGACUUAGACCAAGGUUUACUUAGAUCAAUGUACAGACUCCAGCAUCAACCAAAAGAAAUUAUCUGUGACAAAGUAAGAAUAUGGAACACGUUGAACAACAAAGACCAUAGAAAAGAUCUCAGUGGAACUGUGUCUGUUACCUAUUCUCUAUUAAAAUAAAUCUUUUUAGACAACCAAAAACAUUAGAAAUCUAUAAACAGCUUAAGCUUUCCAUCUCUAAAACAGGAACUCAAGCUAGCCUUCAAGUUACAUUGACACAAGGCCCUAGAUAAAUAAUAUCUAGAUCAUAUUGUAACAAGGUUAAUAUAUGUUAUUUUUAUAUGAUCUAUUACCAAAAUAUCUACAUGGCAACCUGAGGAAGGAUUCAUCAGAGAAAACAGACACCCAGACACUGGUCUGGGCUACUGGAUCUGAAGAACUGGUCUGAACACAUAAGGUUGUUUUUACAAUCUUAAGGUCUUAAUGAAAAGGGUAAAAAAACAUUCAACCAAAAUCUAAAUACAUUCCCAAAUGGCUGAAUGAUUUGUCUCCAGCACAACGGGUUUUGUAAAUCACAAGAUAUCAAAUUCUAACAUAAAUCACUAUAUUGUCAGACAUCAAAAUUCUAACUUUACACUGGCUUGUGAUGAGCCCAUGGGGAGACCCAUUCAAGUCAGCAAUAUUGCUGAUAUAGUAAAGGUUAUAUAAACUUGCCCUAGGUUAGCAUAUUAUUAUUCUUUUCUUUCUGUCUCUUAAUUUUGCAAGUGAACCUAGAACAGUAAGAAAGCCUAGUAUUUGAGCAGAAUUGAUAAAAGAAUUACACAAAAUAUUUGAAGAGGUUAAAAAUAUGUAUUUCAGAUAACUAGCAGAGUGGUAGCAGAGGAGAGGGGUAUGAGUAAGUCAAAUAGAACUAAGGCCAUAGCUAGAGCAUGUGAAUAUGCUUUUUACAUAUUUCUUAGCAGUGUUCAUCUGGGAAGAAUUCAGAAUUUCAAUUAGUGAUUAGUAAUUCUAACUACAUCCCCCAAAAUAGAAUGCUCAUACAGCCUUGUAUUAGAGCAUAUCUUUUGUACAUCAUUGAACAACUUCUGCUGAAAAACACUUGUGUUUCUUACUGAGUAAACUUCGGUUUGUUUUGCCACCUGGUUAAAUUGAUAUGUUUUAGUCAAUAAAAGAGUGGUUCUUCAU